AUAUUAGUAGUAUAAUUUAUUAUACUAAUUUUCCAAAUUAGUGAUUUCUUUGAACUAAUAUA
rnacentral:tRNA from 1 species